UGUCUCCCCGGUGGCUAUGCGUUUU
rnacentral:piRNA from 1 species